AACGCGAAGAACCUUACCUACUCUUGACGAACUUGGAAUCUAGCUGAAAGGUUGGAGUGCCGAAAGGAGCCAAGUAACAGGUGCUGCAUGGCUGUCGUCAGCUCGUGUUGUGAGAUGUUGGGUUAAGUCCCGUAACGAGCGCAACCCUUGUCCUUAGUUGCUACAUGUAAUGGUGAGCACUCUAAGGAGACUGCCGGUUUUUGCCGGAGGAAGGUGGGGACGACGUCAAGUCAUCAUGGCCUUUAUGAGUAGGGCCACACACGUGCUACAAUGGGGCGUACAGAGGGUAGCGAAGCGGCGACGCGGAGCCAAUCUCUUAAAGCGCCUCGUAGUCCGGAUUGGAGUCUGCAACUCGACUCCAUGAAGUUGGAAUCGCUAGUAAUCGCGAAUCAGAACGUCGCGGUGAAUACGUUCCCGGGCCUUGUACACACCGCUCGUC
rnacentral:rRNA from 1 species